rnacentral:rRNA from 1 species
AGAGUUUGAUCAGUGGCUCAGGAUGAACGCUAGCGGCAGGCCUAAUACAUGCAAGUCGAGCGGAGCCUAGCAAUAGGUUUAGCGGCGCACGGGUGAGUAACGCGUACAUAAUCUGCCUUCAACUGGAGAAUAGCCCCGGGAAACUGGGAGUAAUACUCCAUAGCAUAACGAAGUCGCAUGGCUUUGUUAUUAAAGCUCCGGCGGUUGAAGAUGAAUGGUGCGUCUGAUUAGCUUGUUGGUGAGGUAACGGCUCACCAAGGCGAUGAUCAGUAAGGGGGCGUGAGAGCGUGGCCCCUCACAUGGACACUGAGACACGGGUCCAACUCCUACGGGAGGCAGCAGUAAGGAAUAUUGGUCAAUGGGCGCAAGCCUGAACCAGCCAUGCCGCGUGGAGGAUGAAGGCGCUCUGCGUUGUAAACUUCUUUGGUCGGAGACGAAACCCGUCCCUGCGGGGGCGGCUGACGGUAUCCGAAGAACAAGCACCAGCUAACUCCGUG